rnacentral:rRNA from 1 species
AUUGAACGCUGGCGGAAUGCUUUACACAUGCAAGUCGAACGGCAGCAUAGGUGCUUGCACCUGAUGGCGAGUGGCGAACGGGUGAGUAAUACAUCGGAACGUGCCCAGUCGUGGGGGAUAACGCAGCGAAAGCUGUGCUAAUACCGCAUACGCCCUGAGGGGGAAAGCGGGGGAUCGCAAGACCUCGCGCGAUUAGAGCGGCCGAUGCCUGAUUAGCUAGUUGGUGGGGUAAAAGCCCACCAAGGCGACGAUCAGUAGCUGGUCUGAGAGGACGAUCAGCCACACUGGGACUGAGACACGGCCCAGACUCCUACGGGAGGCAGCAGUGGGGAAUUUUGGACAAUGGGGGCAACCCUGAUCCAGCAAUGCCGCGUGCAGGACGAAGGCCUUCGGGUUGUAAACUGCUUUUGUACAGAACGAAAAGCCUUGGGUUAAUACCCUGGGGUCAUGACGGUACUGUAAGAAUAAGCACCGGCUAACUACGUGCG